GAGAAGAUAGUUUAAAAAAAACAAGUGAUUUCGGAUUACUAAAUUCUAAUAAAAAUAGAGCUUCUUU
rnacentral:tRNA from 1 species